AGUGAACGCUGGCGGUAGGCCUAACACAUGCAAGUCGAACGGCAGCGCAGUAAGAGCUUGCUCUUACGGGUGGCGAGUGGCGGACGGGUGAGGAAUACAUCGGAAUCUACUUUUUCGUGGGGGAUAACGUAGGGAAACUUACGCUAAUACCGCAUACGACCUACGGGUGAAAGCAGGGGAUCUUCGGACCUUGCGCGAUUGAAUGAGCCGAUGUCGGAUUAGCUAGUUGGCGAGGUAAAGGCCCACCAAGGCGACGAUCCGUAGCUGGUCUGAGAGGAUGAUCAGCCACACUGGAACUGAGACACGGUCCAGACUCCUACGGGAGGCAGCAGUGGGGAAUAUUGGACAAUGGGCGCAAGCCUGAUCCAGCCAUACCGCGUGGGUGAAGAAGGCCUUCGGGUUGUAAAGCCCUUUUGUUGGGAAAGAAAAGCAGCAGGUUAAUACCCCGCUGUUCUGACGGUACCCAAAGAAUAAGCACCGGCUAACUUCGUG
rnacentral:rRNA from 1 species